rnacentral:misc_RNA from 1 species
AUCCUAGGACCUCACUUAACAGCUUAAGCUUUUGGGUUGAGAUGAUUCUUUGACAUGAUAUCAGAGCUUUGAUGACCAAGCGGUCACGAGUUCGAAUCUCACCAUCCCCAUUUAUUUGAUAAAAUUAAGCACAAGGUAAUGUGAGUCUGUGCAAGUUUCAAGCCCAAAGAGCUUUCACUUGAGGGGGUGUGUUAG